AGGGUUCGAUUCUGGCUCAGAAUGAACGCUGGCGGCAUGGAUUAGGCAUGCAAGUCGAACGCCCCGGGCUUGCCCGGGGAGUGGCGAAAGGGUGCGCAACACGUGAGGAACCGCCCCGGGUCCGGGACAAGCGCUGGAAACGGCGUCUAAUACCGGAUGCCGACCGGAAUCGCAUGAUUCCGCGUCGAAAGUCUUCUCGCCCGGGGAAGGCCUCGCGUCCCAUUAGCUUGAUGCGGGGUGACGGCCCACCAUGGCUACGACGGGUAGGUGGUCUGAGAGGAUGGUCACCCACACUGGGACUGAGACACUGCCCAGACUCCUACGGGAGGCUGCAGUCGAGAAUCUUCCGCAAUGGGCGCAAGCCUGACGGAGCGAUGCCGCGUGAGGGACGGAGGCCUUCGGGUCGUAAACCUCUGUCACCCGGGACGAAGCACGACGGUACCGGGAGAGGAAGCCACGGCUAACUACGUGCCAGCAGCUGC
rnacentral:rRNA from 1 species